rnacentral:rRNA from 1 species
UACGUAGGGUGCAAGCGUUACUCGGAAUUACUGGGCGUAAAGCGUGCGCAGGCGGCUAUGCAAGACAGAUGUGAAAUCCCCGGGCUCAACCUGGGAACUGCAUUUGUGACUGCAUGGCUAGAGUACGGUAGAGGGGGAUGGAAUUCCGCGUGUAGCAGUGAAAUGCGUAGAUAUGCGGAGGAACACCGAUGGCGAAGGCAAUCCCCUGGACCUGUACGGACGCUCAUGCACGAAAGCGUGGGGAGCAAACAGG